rnacentral:rRNA from 1 species
GACGAACGCUGGCGGCGUGCUUAACACAUGCAAGUCGAACGGAAAGGCCCUGCUUUUGUGGGGUGCUCGAGUGGCGAACGGGUGAGUAACACGUGAGUAACCUGCCCUUGACUUUCGGAUAACUUCAGGAAACUGGGGCUAAUACCGGAUAGGAGCUCCUGCUGCAUGGUGGGGGUUGGAAAGUUUCGGCGGUUGUGGAUGGACUCGCGGCUUAUCAGCUUGUUGGUGGGGUAGUGGCUUACCAAGGCUUUGACGGGUAGCCGGCCUGAGAGGGUGACCGGCCACAUGGGGACUGCGAGACGGACCAGACGCCUACGGGAGGCAGCAGUGGGGAAUAUUACACAAUGGGGGGAAGCCUGAUGCAGCAACGCCGCGUGCGGGAUGACGGCCUUCGGGUUGUAAACCGCUUUCGCCUGUGACGAAGAGGGAGUGACGGUAAUGGGUAAAGAAGCACCGGCUAACUACGUG